rnacentral:rRNA from 1 species
GAUGAACGCUGGCGGCGUGCCUAAUACAUGCAAGUCGAGCGAACAGACGAGGAGCUUGCUCCUCUGACGUUAGCGGCGGACGGGUGAGUAACACGUGGAUAACCUACCUAUAAGACUGGGAUAACUUCGGGAAACCGGAGCUAAUACCGGAUAAUAUAUUGAACCGCAUGGUUCAAUAGUGAAAGACGGUUUUGCUGUCACUUAUAGAUGGAUCCGCGCCGCAUUAGCUAGUUGGUAAGGUAACGGCUUACCAAGGCAACGAUGCGUAGCCGACCUGAGAGGGUGAUCGGCCACACGGGAACUGAGACGCGGUCCAGACUCCUACGGGAGGCAGCAGUAGGGAAUCGUCGGCAAUGGGCGAAAGCUUGACGGAGCAACGCCGCGUGAGUGAUGAAGGUCUUCGGAUCGUAAAACUCUGUUAUUAGGGAAGAACAAAUGUGUAAGUAACUAUGCACGUCUUGACGGUACCUAAUCAGAAAGCCACGGCUAACUACGUG